rnacentral:rRNA from 1 species
GUAGGGAAUAUUGGGCAAUGGUCGGAAGACUGACCCAGCCAUGCCGCGUGCAGGAAGACGGCCCUCUGGGUUGUAAACUGCUUUUAUCUGGGAAGAAAAAGGCCAUGCGUGGCAAAUUGCCGGUACCAGAUGAAUAAGCACCGGCUAACUCCGUGCCAGCAGCCGCGGUAAUACGGAGGGUGCGAGCGUUGUCCGGAUUUAUUGGGUUUAAAGGGUGCGUAGGCGGCUGAUUAAGUCAGCGGUGAAAGACUUCGGCUUAACCGGGGCAGUGCCGUUGAUACUGGUUGGCUUGAGUGUCGGAGGGGUACAUGGAAUUGAUGGUGUAGCGGUGAAAUGCAUAGAUACCAUCAGGAACACCGAUAGCGAAGGCAUUGUACUGGCCGACAACUGACGCUGAUGCACGAAAGUGUGGGGAUCGAACAGGAUUAGAAACCCGGGUAGUCC